UUUUACUUACCUGGUCUUCCACA
rnacentral:piRNA from 1 species